rnacentral:rRNA from 1 species
UACGUAGGGUGCAAGCGUUGUCCGGAAUUAUUGGGCGUAAAGAGCUUGUAGGCGGUUUGUCGCGUCUGCUGUGAAAAUCCGGGGCUCAACCCCGGACUUGCAGUGGGUACGGGCAAACUAGAGUAUUGCAGGGGAGACUGGAAUUCCUGGUGUAGCGGUGAAAUGCGCAGAUAUCAGGAGGAACACCGGUGGCGAAGGCGGGUCUCUGGGCAAUAACUGACGCUGAGGAGCGAAAGCGUGGGGAGCGAACAGG